rnacentral:snRNA from 1 species
AAAGAGAUCUGGCUGUGACACAGACCACCAUGUUUGCCAGAGAUGAUUCAGCUAAUAUGUCUAGUAGGUAUGUGUCCUCUUCCUCCUU